UGCCAGCCGCCGCGGUAAUACGGAGGGAGCGAACGUUGUUCGGAUUCACUGGGCGUAAAGGGCGUGUAGGCGGCUUUGCAAGUCAGGGGUGAAAUGUCUCGGCUCAACCGAGGACCUGCCUUUGAAACUGCAGAGCUUGAGGCCGUGAGAGGAGACUGGAAUUCCUAGUGUAGCGGUGAAAUGCAUAGAUAUUAGGAAGAACACCAGUGGCGAAGGCGAGUCUCUGGCACGGUUCUGACGCUGAGGCGCGAAAGCCAGGGGAGCGAACGGGAUUAGAUA
rnacentral:rRNA from 1 species